rnacentral:rRNA from 1 species
CCUACGGGAGGCAGCAGUAGGGAAUCUUCCACAAUGGACGAAAGUCUGAUGGAGCAACGCCGCGUGAGUGAAGAAGGGUUUCGGCUCGUAAAGCUCUGUUGGUAGUGAAGAAAGAUAGAGGUAGUAACUGGCCUUUAUUUGACGGUAAUUACUUAGAAAGUCACGGCUAACUACGUGCCAGCAGCCGCGGUAAUACGUAGGUGGCAAGCGUUGUCCGGAUUUAUUGGGCGUAAAGCGAGUGCAGGCGGUUCAAUAAGUCUGAUGUGAAAGCCUUCGGCUCAACCGGAGAAUUGCAUCAGAAAGUGUUGAACUGGAGUGCAGAAGAGGAGAGUGGAACUCCAUGUGUAGCGGUGGAAUGCGGAGAUAUAUGGAAGAACACCAGUGGCGAAGGCGGCUCUCUGGUCUGCAACUGACGCUGAGGCUCGAAAGCAUGGGUAGCGAACAGGAUUAGAUACCCGAGUAGUC